UGUCGUGAGAUGUUGGGUUAAGUCCCGCAACGAGCGCAACCCUCGCCUUUAGUUGCCACGCAAGUGGAUCUCUAGAGGGACUGCCGGUGUUAAACCGGAGGAAGGUGGGGAUGACGUCAAGUCCUCAUGGCCUUUAUGACCAGGGCUACACACGUGCUACAAUGGCCGGUACAAAGCGCUGCGAACUCGCGAGAGGGAGCCAAUCGCAUAAAACCGGUCUCAGUUCGGAUUGGAGUCUGCAACUCGACUCCAUGAAGUCGGAAUCGCUAGUAAUCGCGGAUCAGCACGCCGCGGUGAAUACGUUCCCGGGCCUUGUACACACCGCCCGUCACACCAUGGGAGUCAAUUGCUCCAGAAGUCGGCGCGCCAACCGCAAGGAGGUAGCCGCCCAAGGAGUGGUUGGUAACUGGGGUGAAGUCGUAACAAGGUA
rnacentral:rRNA from 1 species